GACAGAGGGUGCAAACGUUGUUCGGAAUUACUGGGCGUAAAGCGCGUGUAGGCGGCCCUGCAAGUCGGAUGUGAAAUCCCACGGCUCAACCGUGGAAGUGCAUUCGAAACUGCAGGGCUAGAGUCCUGGAGAGGAAGGUGGAAUGCUUGGUGUAGAGGUGAAAUUCGUAGAUAUCAAGCGGAACACCGGUGGCGAAGGCGGCCUUCUGGACAGUGACUGACGCCGAGACGCGAAAGCGUGGGGAGCAAACAGG
rnacentral:rRNA from 1 species